rnacentral:rRNA from 1 species
GGGGCAGGGUGAGUCGGCCCCUAAGGCGAGGCUGAAAAGCGUAGUCGAUGGGAAACGGGUUAAUAUUCCCGUACUUGUCUUCAUUGCGAUGUGGGGACGGAGAAGGUUAGGUUAGCAGACUGUUGGAUGUCUGUUUAAGUUGGUAGGUGGGGAGCUUAGGCAAAUCCGGGCUCCUAUUAACACUGAGAGAUGAUGACGAGUUUCUACGGAAAUGAAGUAACUGAUACCACGCUUCCAGGAAAAGCCACUAAGCUUCAGAUAAAGAUAAACCGUACUGAAAACCGACACAGGUGGUCAGGUAGAGAAUACUCAGGCGCUUGAGAGAACUCGGGUGAAGGAACU